GUUAUCCUGAGUGGUCCUGAAACCGCCCAUCCACUCUGCCACCUUCUCCACCAGGCUGAGUGUAGCAAAGGUUUCCCAAGACAGCAUCCCAGCGAAGCAAAGGUGUCAGACGCAAGCCCUUGAAGGACACCACGUAUGUGCUAUGGAAAAGGAGAAAGAGCAUGAAGAUGACUCGCAAAGAUCAAUCAAGAAAGUUGUGUUGCAAAUGUAACAGAAGCCUUUCAAGGAGGAGUGGGUAAUUAACUGCUACCAGAUGAAGAAACAGAGGCAACAGCAUAAUACUUAGUAAGCAGUCAAAGAGAG